rnacentral:rRNA from 1 species
UACAGAGGGGGCAAGCGUUAUUCGGAAUUAUUGGGCGUAAAGGGCGCGUAGGCGGCCUGGCAAGUGGAAGGUGAAAUCCCUCGGCUUAACCGAGGAACUGCCCUCCAAACUGCUUGGCUUGAGACCGGGAGAGGUGAGUGGAAUUCCCAGUGUAGCGGUGAAAUGCGUAGAUAUUGGGAGGAACACCAGUGGCGAAGGCGGCUCACUGGACCGGUACUAACGCUGAGGCGCGAAAGCGUGGGGAGCAAACGGG